GUUAUUCAUAAAUUUCUGACCACAUCUUCCUGGGAAACAUAUAACCUUUAUCUGUUCAUAGGCCUUCCCAGAAUAGUGAUGACUGCAAAAUGGCCUGGAAACGCUUUUCUGGAGAUAAACAAUGGAAAUGAUCUAACAUUAAAAAUAACCCUAAAGGCGAAAAAUCAGAAAUGACUUUGAAACAAAGGAAGGGUGGAGUAAGCAACCCUUUUGGAGAGAUUCAUACCCUGCUUCAUUAGGCUUAUAGAGCCCAGGAAUGCCAGGGAAGGUUGCAUCAGAAAUCUCUAAGAUAUCUGCCUGUAUGUUAUUAAAAAAAAAAAAAAAAUGUUCUGAACUUAUAGGAAUUAGUGAACCUAUUGCAAAAUUCACAGCAGUUAAAAUUAGAUUUUGAGUGAUUUAUCUUUUUGCCAUUGUUUCAGCAUGUGACACGACAUGACGAGAGGAGGUUUUCUUGCAAACAGUAUUUGAACCACAAAACGCUAUUUUGCAGUAGAGAAUGUACUUCCAAGAUUUAAUUCAAUACUGAGUGUUACACAAAUCAUAUGAAAAACAGCCUUGCUGUGGUAACAGCACAAUUAAGCACAGGUGGCCAAAGUAUUUUGACUCUUGGACUGAAUUUUGAAUUUCUGGUACACGCUGCUGCUUCAGUUUUGUUAGUACCAAUGCAGCUGCAUGCUUCCUUGUAAAUCUAUACCUGGCAUGUGAUAGAAAAUGAGCAGAACAUUCUAAACUGAAAAAAAAAAAAAAAAAAAAGAUGCAAGUCAAAGCUUCAGGCAUAAUUUUGCAAGCUAGUAACUAAAAAGCAUCUUUAUUCACAGCUGUUAUUUCUAUUGACAUCAGGAAACUGCAAACAAGUUUUUUGUUGUUGUUGUUGUUUGCUUUUCUUUUUUCAUUUUUUUUUUCUCCCACACAGAAGGUCUGUAGGAUCUGCGUCUCCCAAGUGAACAGUUCAGAGUUCAUAGUCAUCCAACUUUUCACUAGCCUGCCUAAUGCGUCACGCCUGACACCAGAUCUAAACAACGCAUACGUUCCCAAAAGGGCUUCGUUGUGAUUGGCAGGCCUGCGAGGAGUUGCUGUCAGAUGCUAUGCACAUAGCUAAUUGCAUCUCCCAGUUCUGUGAAACCCAUCAGCUCAUAAACUUUGAAACACAUGCUUAGUGUUGUCAGAUUUGCUCAUAAAUACAACAGAUAAAUUGCAAGAGACUGAGUUUAAUGGAGUGAUGGAAGAACAUCAGCUCCAGGCUAGAAGUGUUUAGUAGGAGUAGGACUGAUAGCUCCGGAAAAUCCAUCAAAUUUAGUUAGCUAGAUUGACCUUCAAGGAAAUUAUGUAGGAGGUGGUUGCACAGGCAGUGUGUGGCCUUGUGUAGUCUACAGGAAGAAGAGAGAGUGCAUUACUGAGAGCCUAUCCUUUAUAAUAACACAUCUCUUCUUCUUCCCACUGAUAAGAUAGCAACCGCCAUUCUCUUUGUCGUCUUUCUUUCUAACACUUCUAUCCAAAAUAAGGAUAAAAGUGUGCUGAGAAUUAUUUGGUUGUUGUGGAUAUAAACCUGGGAACUGUCGUGUUCUCUGAACCAUUUGGUAGAGGAGCUGAGGGAAAAAAGUCAGUCCUAGAAGUCCUAGAAGUGAAUGUAGUUACAUCUGAAUUACAAUUAAUUACAAAUAAUUCAAACUUACAAUGAAAACUAAUUAGCCUGCAUGGUCUUCAAGGAAUAUAAACAAGUUUACAUACCAAAAGCAUGUGUCUCUUUUUUCUCACCCUUACAGUACUAUAACAAUUUGUAAUAGCACAUAGAAGACCCAUAGACGAAAAAGGUUAAACUGGAAGACAAACAGGAAAGAGAUGAACUCAACUCCCAAUUUCAGAGGGUGAAAGGUGUUGGACUGAAGAGGAGCUGGAAGAAAACUAUGGUGAGAGGAGUAAGAAGUAUGGACCAUGUGAAGAGGUCUGCUGAGGAGGCACAGAGUGUUGCAGGGAGCCUGUCUUCCCAUCUUCCAAGCCUCCUGGUGGACCUAGAAGAGGCUGGACUGAGUGGUGUCAUUAGCAAUAAAAUGCAGGUCAUCUGUUCCAUGAAGAAAGAAGAUAACAGCCAUCUGGGAGAUUAGCAUAUAUAUUUUAUGAAGCAGAGCAGAACUCUCUCUUCUACUGACUCAGAUGCUAAAGACACAGAUUCACAGCCUCGCUCCUAGCCAGCACAGCACAGUUUCCAAAGCUGAUGUUACCAGUGGCUUACUUCUCUCCCUUGCAGUGACAUUGGCGUAGCAGUUCUUUUCUAAAGUGGGAAAAAAAAACACAGUCCAGUUUUACAGCCAUGCAGAAAAGUAAUUUAUAGUGAUAGAAGAAUCAAUUUGUCAGUAGAGAUUACAUUAUUUGAGGAGACAUUAUCAGUGAUUGAUCAAAUAACUGUCUACUGGCAUAACACACAUCUCCAGAGUGCUUUAUGUGGCUCUAGCUGUGGGUAUAACCAUGGAACACAGCUGAGAUACAUCUCUGGGAAUGAGAGCAUUAGUGCUGAGGUAAUUUAAGAUGCAAAUAUGAAUGACCAUGGAAUGUAAAAGGAGCGAGCUGCACUAAGGAGACGCACCAAGGAGCAUCUCCUUAAUGUUUUAUAGUUAUGUAUUGUGCUGGUAGAGAUGUGCUUUCAUCAAAGCUAUAGUUGGUAAAACAGUAGUGAUCUUGUACUGUUGACUGUUUCUGUUCCAGUACUUUUUCUUCCUUUUAGAUCUUCUCUUUUAUUUUUUUUAUUUUUUUUUGGGGGGGGGGAGUAACAUCUUGAUUUUUGCUCUCACAGAGCACACAGACUAGGAGCCUAGAGUGCCAAGUUUUUGAUAUCCAAUGUAGUUUUAUAACUAUGGACUGGCACAGUAGUAAGAUGUUGUUACAGAGCAGCUAGGUCCAGUGAAGAGGGAGGAAAGGUUUCAGUUCAAAGAAAAAGUACUAGUGUAGUAGUCUGCAUAAAUAUACCAGAGAAGAUUCAGCAAAUGUUGUCCUAAAUAUAUAUGAAUGAUGAAACGGAGUCAGCAGAGCACUUUCCUUAGCUUCUUAAAACAAAACUUCUUUUUUUUUCCUCCUUUAAACAAUGUUUAGUGUUAUUUUCUUCUUCCUUUUGCCAGUUACGGAAAUAUUAACUUAACACUUACUGAUCCUUCUUUUUACCUUGAUCACAAGAACAGCCCUUCCAAUCUGGCCAAAUCUUUUCAUUCAGAAACCACUUUCUGACACAGCUGGUUAAAGAUGCCAAGAGAAAUCUGUGAAAAGGGUAAAAACCGAUCAGGGCUCUUCCCGAGCAUUUCCCUGGACACUCUCCCAGAUCCAGGCACUUGUUGUUCUGGGCUCCCUGAGCAAGCCAGACCGUCUCCGUAGAAACAAACACAUCGCAGGGAAAGGAAAAGGGGGCAGAAAAGGAAAAAAAAAAAAAAAAAAAAAAAAAA